AGUGGGCCCCACCAAGACAUGUGGCCAAAUUUAAUUGGCUCAAGCCUUGAGUGGGACACUUGUCACUCCUAGGGGCUGAAAAUAUAGUGAAAAAUCUGUGCCCAAACCCUCAUUUUCAUCUUCCACAAUAAGCUAGAGAGAGAGAGAGAAAAAACAAAAGCCAUGGCAUUCGGCCAUGGCUAGCAAAUUGGAGCUCAAAUUAUUUGAUCCAAAAAUCAGAUUUUCCAAGUAUUCCAACCAGUUAGGAAGGCUAUAAUAACGUGGAGUAGUCAUUUGGAGCAACAAGAACAAGUAUUAGUUCAUUUCACAACUUCUAGCCAAAUUAAGAAGCCAACUUGUUAAGGUUGAAGUGUCAAUCGAGACGAGUUUAAAUUAUUGAAUUGGUACGGACGACAAACGGUACACCCCGAUGAGUAGAAGACUUUGCUAAAGGUGUUCCAGCGGGAUUGGCGAGCUCCAUCUCAGUUCGGAGUGUUGCCGGGUCAAGUACUUAUGUCAUUGUAUUUUGUAUGUGUUAGAGACUUUGCAGACAGUGUCCUGUGGAUAGGGCGUCGAGCAGUGCGAAUCAUUUAUAUAUGUUAAAAGAGUAUGUAUUUCCAGAUGAUUUCUGUUGGUAAAAAGUGCGUAAUUGAU